UCACUGCUGAAGAGUCCCACAAUAGGACGACACGGCUGUCCAGUAC
rfam:Schistosoma margrebowiei strain Zambia genome assembly, scaffold: SMRZ_scaffold0004352